GAGAAUUUUUCACAAUGGGCGCAAGCCUGAUGGAGCGACGCCGCGUGGGGGAUGAAUGGCUUCGGCCCGUAAACCCCUGUCAUUUGCGAUCAACCGUUAUUAUUUAAAAGAUGAUAACCUGAUAGUAGCGAAAGAGGAAGGGACGGCUAACUCUGUGCCAGCAGCCGCGGUAAUACAGAGGCCCCAAGCGUUGUUCGGAUUCACUGGGCGUAAAGGGUGCGUAGGUGGCGGGGUAAGUCGGAUAUGAAAUCUCGGAGCUCAACUCCGAAAUGGCAUUGGAAACUACCCUGCUCGAGGAUUGGAGGGGGGACUGGAAUACUUGGUGUAGCAGUGAAAUGCGUAGAUAUCAAGUGGAACACCAGUGGCGAAGGCGAGUCCCUGGACAACUCCUGACACUGAGGCACGAAAGCGUGGGUAGCAAACA
rnacentral:rRNA from 1 species